GACGAACGCUGGCGGCGUGCCUAACACAUGCAAGUCGAGCGAGUGAAUCUCCUUCGGGAGUGAAGCUAGCGGCGGACGGGUGAGUAACACGUGGGCAACCUGCCUCAUAGAGGGGCAGAGCCUUUCGAAAGGAAGAUUAAUACCGCAUAAGAUUGUAGCUUCGCAGUAAGUAGCAAUUAAAGGAGCAAUCCGCUAUGAGAUGGGCCCGCGGCGCAUUAGCUAGUUGGUGGGGUAACGGCUCACAAAGGCGACGAUUCGUAGCCGACCUGAGAGGGUGAUCGGCCACAUUGGGACUGGGACACGGCCCAGACUCCUACGGGAGGCAGCAGUGGGGAAUAUUGCACAAUGGGGGAAACCCUGAUGCAGCAACGCCGCGUGAGUGAUGACGGUCUUCGGGUUGUAAAGCUCUGUCUUCAGGGACGAUAAUGACGGUACCUGAGGAGGAAGCCACGGCUAACUACGUGCCAGCAGCCGCCGUAA
rnacentral:rRNA from 1 species